rnacentral:rRNA from 1 species
ACUUCAGGACGGGGACAACAGUUGGAAACGACUGCUAAUACCCGAUGUGCCACGAGGUGAAACCUAAUUGGCCUGAAGAAGAGCUUGCGUCUGAUUAGCUAGUUGGUGGGGUAAGAGCCUACCAAGGCGACGAUCAGUAGCUGGUCUGAGAGGAUGAGCAGCCACACUGGGACUGAGACACGGCCCAGACUCCUACGGGAGGCAGCAGUGGGGAAUUUUCCGCAAUGGGCGAAAGCCUGACGGAGCAACGCCGCGUGAGGGAGGAAGGUCUUUGGAUUGUAAACCUCUUUUCUCAAGGAAGAAGUUCUGACGGUACUUGAGGAAUCAGCCUCGGCUAACUCCGUGCCAGCAGCCGCGGUAAUACGGGGGAGGCAAGCGUUAUCCGGAAUUAUUGGGCGUAAAGCGUCCGCCGGUGGUCAGCCAAGUCUGCUGUCAAAUCAGGUUGCUUAACGACCUA